AGGGAACCAGCGCCAUUCAAGGCUUUUCUCUCUGGCCCUGUGGAAAAGCUCCCGCGCUCUCCAGAAACUGCUGCCAUUGGCGGAGCCAGCUCGCAGGGUCAGCUCUUAUUGUUUAUUUCCUUUGUUUCAGUAACUUUUAGAGGAGUUUUUCCGAAGAAGGGAAUCAGAUCCAAUUAAAAGACGUAUGUACAUCAUGGCGUUUAACUUGAGAAAAAUUGGAAACGUUGGAACGGCAAUGAUUCAAUAAAGAAUUGUACGUCCUCGAGGAGAACAUCGUGUAGCUUUUUAAAAUUAUGUUUUAUAAGGAAUGUUAGUUUUAAAAAAGGCUGCAAAACGGCACAUGCACUGAGAUACCCAAAUUUUCUGUUUGUUUGAAUAUUUUUAAAGUGUUAAGCAAAUACUGUGAACUGAAGAAUGUCUGAUUGUCUCUGGGUGGUGAGAUUAUGGUGAUUGUUAAAUUCUUGUGUGCUUUCUGCAUUAUCUAGCUGUUCUACAAUUCUGUACUUCUAUAUCUCAGUUUUUAUAGUAAGGGGGAAACUAUCUUUAAUGAAUAAAAUAAUCCUCUUGUUGCAAAUCAAGACUCCUCAGCUGUAAAGAAGGUUGUGAUUCUAGAUGGAAGCAGUUCCUAUUAUUGGUCCUAACAGCAGAGAAGAAUUUAAACUCUCUAGGUAGGACUGGUCAACUUUAAAUCUCCUUCAAUAUCCAUAGAUUUUUGUGAGUCGAUUGUUUCAAGAAAGACCACCACUGAUACUUCGCAGAUUGUCCAUGACUAAAACUUAACAUUCCCUGAUCCACCCACUGUGAUUUCAGAGCAAUAAAUUUUUGUUGGUCUUAAUGGAUUCAGCACUUGCUAACAAC